AAAUAUGCAAAAGACUUUUGCAUCUCAACCCAUGCUGGGCCUGUACACCUGACUGUGCCUUAAACAUCAACAGUCAGUGAUUGCAAAAUAAGGCAUUCCAU